CUCAUUUAGGGACAGACAACCAUCGACAACCACAUUCAUGGUUAAUUUACAGCAUCCAAUCAGAUUAACUCCUCAGGGAGGAAACCAGAGGAUUGGACAAAAAAAAACACACACGCACAGACAAACAUCCCAUAGUUAAAUAUAAGACGAAGGUAAAUAUGAAUAUGAUGCAACGUCUGAAAAAAAUUUAUAAACCACACAGUCGCAAUAAGAAGUAGCACAGGAGUGUGUGUGUGUGUGUGUGUGUGUGUGAGCUGGUAAAGAAGUGUGUGGGUGAAUAUGUUAAUAUCCUGGCUUCACAUGAGUUUUGUGAAAAAAAAAGAUAUAUUCUGUAUCUUGGGAGUUUGGACGACGCUGGACUGGUUUUUUUUUUUUUUUUUUUGGACCAGGAACAAAAUCCGUCUGUUUUCACCGAUGUCUCGGCCGGAGACGGAAUGCAGGACGCAGGGCGUAGGACGGUCCGGUGGCAACGUUCGUUACAGGAAAACUGUUUGUACGUUGAAGUUCUGUUAAUAGUCAGUUGGUGGUUUGUGGUUCGAUGGUGUAGCGGUUAUUACACCGGUCUUACACGUAGAAAGUCCUGCGUUCGAACCCCAGAGGAACCAUAAACUUAAUAACACCCUUUACCGCCCCCAUGUGGCAGCCCUGUGUGGGUUCACUGUGAAUUUCCCUGUUGUGGAAUGAAUUAGCGACUAAUAUAUUUUUUUAUUUUUUCAUAGAUGUUUAUUUUUGCUGCACUACGGGUUCAUCUUCAGUUCGGUCUCUUUCGAUGAUGUCAUUUCUGUCAAAGAGCUAAUGUUUACCACGUGACUUCAACAUC